UACGUAGGGUGCGAGCGUUAAUCGGAAUUACUGGGCGUAAAGCGUGCGCAGGCGGUUAUUUAAGUCAGGUGUGAAAGCCCCGGGCUCAACCUGGGAAUUGCAUUCGAGACUGAAUAGCUAGGGUACGGUAGAGGGAAGCGGAAUUCCCGGUGUAGCGGUGAAAUGCGUAGAUAUCGGAAGGAACAUCAGUGGCGAAAGCGACUUCCUGGACCAGUACCGACGUUCAGGCACGAAAGCGUGGGAGCAACAGG
rnacentral:rRNA from 1 species